AGUGAACGCUGGCGGUAGGCCUAACACAUGCAAGUCGAACGGCAGCACAGUAAGAGCUUGCUCUUACGGGUGGCGAGUGGCGGACGGGUGAGGAAUACAUCGGAAUCUACUUUUUCGUGGGGGAUAACGUAGGGAAACUUACGCUAAUACCGCAUACGACCUACGGGUGAAAGCAGGGGAUCUUCGGGCCUUGCGCGACUGAAUGAGCCGAUGUCGGAUUAGCUAGUUGGCGGGGUAAAGGCCCACCAAGGCGACGAUCCGUAGCUGGUCUGAGAGGAUGAUCAGCCACACGGGAACUGAGACACGGUCCAGACUCCUACGGGAGGCAGCAGUGGGGAAUAUUGGACAAUGGGCGCAAGCCUGAUCCAGCCAUACCGCGUGGGUGAAGAAGGCCUUCGGGUUGUAAAGCCCUUUUGUUGGGAAAGAAAAGCAGCAGGUUAAUACCCCGCUGUUCUGACGGUACCCAAAUAAUAAGCACCGGCUAACUUCGUG
rnacentral:rRNA from 1 species